UACGGAGGGUGCGAGCGUUAUCCGGAAUUACUGGGUUUAAAGGGUGCGUAGGCGGCUAAGUAGGUCAGGAGUGAAAGUUUGCGGCUCAACCGUAAAAUUGCUUUUGAUACUGCAUAGCUAGAAUUAGGAUGAGGUCAGCGGAAUGUGGCAUGUAGCGGUGAAAUGCAUAGAUAUGCCAUAGAACACCAAUUGCGAAGGCAGCUGGCUAGACCUGGAUUGACGCUGAGGCACGAAAGCGUGGGGAGCGAACAGG
rnacentral:rRNA from 1 species